UUAAUUGAACUUGAAAUUAAUUUAAUUAAUGAAAUCCGGGGCUUAAUUGAAAAAAUACCAAAGUUUGGGGUUAAUUGGGGGCAUAAUUGAGACAGAUUAAAAUCCAGGGAUUAACUUGUAAAAGGUGUCGAAAUGCAGGGGUCCAAUUACAAUUUGACUAGGGGCUUAAUUACAAAAUUGUCAAACAUUCAAGGUCCAAAAUGCAAAUAGCCAUUAAACACCAAAAACGGUGCCGUUUUCCCGUUACUGUUCAUCUUCUUCAACGCUUCAGCUGUCUGCCGCCACCAUUAGUCCUGCAAUAACAGUCGAUUGAUUACCUGGUAAAGGUGGAAUUUUGUGGCUAUAAAACUGGAAGAAACAGAGAACGCAGGGGAGACAAGAAAGGGCAGAACCGAGGAUAGGAAAAAGAAAAACAGAGGAAGAAGAAACUAAAAAAAACAGAGAAAAACCAGAGGGAGCUCACGUUCAACCGACAGAACGUCAUGCUUUUAUCACCAUCUCCUUCGUCCUGAGCAAAAGAGAAACCGGAGAGAAAAGCAGAGGAACGACGCAGAGACAAGGAGCAACUCCACCAUCGUCUUUGUCCCUUCAUCUCAGCCCAUCGGACAAAAGCGUAGAGACGAGAACCGGCGUUGACCAUCGUCUUCACAGUCUUUAGCAACCAGCCUCCAGAACCAGAGGCAACAGAACAAAGAAUCACAAAAGAAAGGGUAUGACACCGAGAACGUGGUAGAACCAGAGACAGAGGACGAAGACGAAAAAAAAACAGAAAGAAAGAUGAGAGGAUGAAGAAGAAAAACAAGACGAAGCAGAUUUGAGCGUCCGAUUCGACCAGCAACCUCACGUCUUCAUCGCCAUCGUCUUCGUCUCAGAACCAGAGCUUGUCAGGAAGACGCCACAGCAAAAGAGACGAAGAAGAAAUCCAGAAAGCAAGAAAAAAAUGAAAACCAGAAAGAGAACAUAGGAGAAUACGGUUAGCCAGCACACCUUCGCCAUCGUCUUCGACGUCUCCAGACCAGGUAAGUUCUGCAUUUCCAUCUUGCAAUUAUAAUCACGUAGUUACUGUCUGAAGCCAUUUUUAAU
rnacentral:lncRNA from 1 species